UCAGGAUGAAAAUGGUCUCAGAUGGUACAGUGGUCUGAGGUCAGAUAACUGAGCCCACAGAAUUCCCGGCAUGUUUAGCUUAUUGCUUGCACAUUUGCACAGUGAUAAAACCAACGUGCCCACAGAU
ensembl:snoRNA small nucleolar RNA ACA64